rnacentral:rRNA from 1 species
GUGGGGAAUCUUAGACAAUGGGGGAAACCCUGAUCUAGCCAUGCCGCGUGAGCGAUGAAGGCCUUAGGGUUGUAAAGCUCUUUCAGAUGGGAAGAUAAUGACGGUACCAUCAGAAGAAGCCCCGGCUAACUCCGUGCCAGCAGCCGCGGUAAUACGGAGGGGGCUAGCGUUGUUCGGAAUUACUGGGCGUAAAGCGCACGUAGGCGGACCAGAAAGUCAGGGGUGAAAUCCCGGGGCUCAACACCGGAACUUCCUUUGAAACUCCUGGUCUUGAGGUCGAGAGAGGUGAGUGGAAUUCCGAGUGUAGAGGUGAAAUUCGUAGAUAUUCGGAGGAACACCAGUGGCGAAGGCGGCUCACUGGCUCGAUACUGACGCUGAGGUGCGAAAGCGUGGGGAGCAAACAGGAUUAGAAACCCGAGUAGUCC